UACGUAGGGUGCAAGCGUUGUCCGGAAUUAUUGGGCGUAAAGAGCUCGUAGGCGGCUUGUCACGUCUGCUGUGAAAACUCGGGGCUCAACCCCGAGCCUGCAGUGGAUACGGGCUAGCUAGAGUGCGGUAGGGGAGACUGGAAUUCCUGGUGUAGCGGUGAAAUGCGCAGAUAUCAGGAGGAACACCGGUGGCGAAGGCGGGUCUCUGGACCGAUACUGACGCUGAGGAGCGAAAGCGUGGGGAGCGAGCAGG
rnacentral:rRNA from 1 species